rnacentral:lncRNA from 13 species
AAAUAUGUAGAUAGAUAAAGCCAACUGAACAUACUAAAUUUGAUAAUAAAAACUUAUAUAUUACCUGUGCUUCACAGGCGGAGAAGUGUAUCACAUCCGCUUUAGCCAGUUCACUCAUGUCACAAGCAGUCCAAGUAUUCCCAUUGAUGCAAUGCCUGCAAAGCCCAUUUGAUAGCUGGGUUAAUGUUUUAGCAGUUUGUUUUGAGUGAAUUGCCCCAAACUGGGCCAAGAGACACUUCAGAGACAGAGUCCAAGAAGUGGGUAUUUGCUUUAUUUGGUGUGCCGGGUGUGGGGGAUUACUCCUCCAAGCGCACACACUGGCACUUACUACAACACAAUAUUAUGGGUAAAAUUCAUGAAUUGUCAUCACAUUCCUUGGGAUAGGAGUGGUUAUACAAAUCAGUUCUCGGAAGUCAUUAAUAUCAUUAGCAUAUGUGUCACACAUGGGUGGUGUGUCCUGGUGGUCGCACUGAGGAAGGCUCCUCUUCUUCCUCGGGAGUCUUUCUGAUGAAGGACUGGAAAAGGAAGUCAACUGAUGUCAUCAUCAUCAGUAUUUCUUGAGUGCCUCUGCAAUGCUGCUCCGCUCAGGCCGUGAAAAGCCAUAUCAAAUGCCUCUCCAUGGAAGCCAGUCUGUGGAGAAGCAAUUACUGCUUACAAAUAUGAGAACAGCUCCUGGAAAGCCAGUGUUCAGCCUGCGAGAAACAGUGAAAUGUUACAUACUAACUGAAGACUCAAAAACAGUGCAUUUUGACAUAGAUGAAGAAGGUCAUCAUGAAAUAUCUACCAAGGAUUCACAAUCCCAUGAAGAUAUUGCGUGGUUAAGCGUGUUCACAAGGAAUGAAGCAGCAGUUACUGAUAAGCCUCUUGUGGGAAUAAAAGAUUCAAAAAAUUUGGUGAUCCUCACACAGAGAUCAAAGCUUAAUGAAUUUGUUCUGUUGUGCAAGGGUAAGAAGCAUCUGUCUCUGAAGGUCUUAAAAGCAUCCUGCUCAGAGCCAGAUUAUCCUUCAAUGGAGAGAUGCAAUAUGAAAACAUGCAACCAUGAAGAUCCUGACUUUAAACAGAAAAAGGAAAAUAAGACAUUUUCCCUUGACUUGUAUUUAUGAGAACAUCCUUCAAUCUCCAGGCAAAAUACCUGACUUUCAGUUAAAACAUGAAAG